rnacentral:rRNA from 1 species
AAACCAGCACCUCAAGUGGUCAGGAUGAUUAUUGGGCCUAAAGCAUCCGUAGCCUGAUCUGUAAGUUUUCGGUUAAAUCUGUACGCUCAACGUACAGGCUGCCGGGAAUACUGCAGAUCUAUGGAGUGCGAGAGGUAGACGGUACUCGGGAGGAAGUGGUAAAAUGCUUUGAUCUCUCGAUGACCACCUGUGGCGAAGGCGGUCUACCAGAACACGUCCGACGGUGAGGGAUGAAAGCUGGGGGAGCAAACCGGAUUAGAAACCCGAGUAGUCC